ensembl:lncRNA
ACUGGCCCCACUAUCCCAACAGCGAAGCAACCAGGGGCUACUGACACUGUUACUGGUGUCUGCUGUGACUGGUCAGGUCUGGCUUGAAGAUUUCCCCCUUUGGCUUGCACCUCUGCUCGGAAACUCUCUCUCUCCAGAACAGUACUAUACAGAGCACGGUAGGCACAAGCCAAGCCCCAGAUAAGCCGUACUUCCUUUGAUCUAUCUAAGCCGCACCGUCCCUGACUCAAAUGCUGGCUCAGUUUCUCGGGAUUCCACAGAUGUUCAAGAGUGAAAUCCCAUGGUAUGGCGGGUCCCCACGCUUCUAAGAUUCUUCCUAAACCUUUCCAUAUUCCUUGCCAGUCAUCAUUCUCUGGUCUUGGAGGAGGCUUCUUCCACUUAGCACGAAUGAAGAGGAAUACAUUCAAGGAUAUUGAUAACAUACACACAAGUAUGAGCACUGACUCGGUAUUUGAAAAACGUUUGACAAACUGAGAGGGAAGCCUGGAAACCGGUUCGAAAGUCUCAAAAUUCAAAUUAUACAACAUUGCAUAAAGCCACUAGACAGGUGCCUCUAUCAGUGCCCUUACUUGGUUAUAUAUAAACAUAAUUCCACAGCAAGACAUCAAGAGGUUAAUUAUAGACUGGUAACUGGCAAGGAACAUGAUAGCUUUUAAUCCCUUAUAUAGUGCUCUGACAAUAAAGAGCAACCUCAUAGCUGGUAACUGCUAAAGGGAGGGAGGGGUGAAGAGAAGGAGAAAAAAAAAAAAAAGGAAAACAAAUGGAAACCACUCGGUACAGUGUCUGGAGUUUGGCAGACUGCCCAGGCUAUAAUCUAAUCUAUGAAGGUCACACCAACACCAGCAAUGCUUUGUAGUCUCACAGUCUGGCUUAACGAAAUCCUUUUUUCUUACUAACGUUAAAAGCUUCAGACAAAUCUUGCCCGCAUUCUCCACCAAAAAUUUGUCACGGAGUUACCUAGAUAGAUCUGUGCCCGUGACAGGGGGGCAGUAGGCUCGCGGGCCCCCUCCCCCCCGGCUUCCCGAGAAAAAAUGGAGCAGCAGCAACGAUCUAAGAAGGAGAACUUAUUUUACUAACUACAGUGUUGGAAUGCAAGAUGACAC